CCUACGGGUGGCAGCAGUGGGGAAUAUUGCACAAUGGGGGAAACCCUGAUGCAGCGACGCCGCGUGAGUGAAGAAGUAUUUCGGUAUGUAAAGCUCUAUCAGCAGGGAAGAAAAUGACGGUACCUGACUAAGAAGCCCCGGCUAACUACGUGCCAGCAGCCGCGGUAAUACGUAGGGGGCAAGCGUUAUCCGGUUUUACUGGGUGUAAAGGGAGCGUAGGUGGCAUGGUAAGCCAGAAGUGAAAACCCGGGGCUCAACCCCGCGGAUUGCUUUUGGAACUAUCAGGCGGGAGUGCUGGAGGGGUAAGCGGAAUUCCUAGUGUAGCGGUGAAAGGCGUAGAUAUUAGGAGGAACACCGGUGGCGAAGGCGGCUUACUGGACAGAAACUGACACUGAGGCUCGAAAGCGUGGGGAGCAAACAGGAUUAGAUACCCUAGUAGUC
rnacentral:rRNA from 1 species